UACAGAGGGGGCGAGCGUUAUUCGGAAUUAUUGGGCGUAAAGGGCGCGUAGGCGGCCUGGCAAGUGACGGGUGAAAGCCCUCGGCUUAACCGAGGAACUGCCUGUCAGACUGUUAGGCUUGAGACCGGGAGAGGUGAGUGGAAUUCCCAGUGUAGCGGUGAAAUGCGUAGAUAUUGGGAGGAACACCAGUGGCGAAGGCGGCUCACUGGACCGGUACUGACACUCAUACGCGAGAGCGUGGGUAGCAAACAGG
rnacentral:rRNA from 1 species